rnacentral:rRNA from 1 species
GACGAACGCUGGCGGCGUGCUUAACACAUGCAAGUCGAACGGAAAGGCCCUGCUUUUGUGGGGUGCUCGAGUGGCGAACGGGUGAGUAACACGUGAGUAACCUGCCCUUGACUUUGGGAUAACUUCAGGAAACUGGGGCUAAUACCGGAUAGGAGCUCCUGCUGCAUGGUGUGGGUUGGAAAGUUUCGGCGGUUGGGGAUGGACUCGCGGCUUAUCAGCUUGUUGGUGGGGUAGUGGCUUACCAAGGCUUUGACGGGUAGCCGGCCUGGGAGGGUGACCGGCAACAUUGGGACUGAGAUAGGGCCCAGACUCCUACGGGAGGGAGCAGUGGGGAAUAUUACACAAUGGGCGGAAGCCAGAUGCAGCAACGCCGCGGGCGGGAUGACGGCCUUCGGGUUGUAAACCGCUUUCGCCUGUGACGAAGCGUGAGUGACGGUAAUGGGUAAAGAAGCACCGGCUAACUACGUG